rnacentral:tRNA from 1 species
GCCCGGGUUAGCUCAGUUGGUAGAGCACAGACUUUUAAUCUGAGGGCCAUGGGUUCGAGUCCCAUAUCGGGCU